GACGAACGCUGGCGGCGUGCUUAACACAUGCAAGUCGAACGGUAAGGCUCCAGCUUGCUGGGGUACACGAGUGGCGAACGGGUGAGUAACACGUGGGUGACCUGCCCUGCACUUCGGGAUAAGCCUGGGAAACUGGGUCUAAUACCGGAUAGGACCGCACCGUGAGGGUGUGGUGGAAAGUUUUUUCGGUGUGGGAUGGGCCCGCGGCCUAUCAGCUUGUUGGUGGGGUAAUGGCCUACCAAGGCGGCGACGGGUAGCCGGCCUGAGAGGGUGGACGGCCACAUUGGGACUGAGACACGGCCCAGACUCCUACGGGAGGCAGCAGUGGGGAGUAUUGCACAAUGGGCGGAAGCCUGAUGCAGCGACGCCGCGUGGGGGAUGACGGCCUUCGGGUUGUAAACUCCUUUCACCAUCGACGAAGGGUUUCUGACGGUAGAUGGAGAAGAAGCACCGGCUAACUACGUGCCAGCAGCCGCGGUAAUACGUAGGGUGCGAGCGUUGUCCGGAAUUACUGGGCGUAAAGAGCUCGUAGGUGGUUUGUCGCGUCGUCUGUGAAUUCCGGGGCUUAACUCCGGGCGUGCAGGCGAUACGGGCAUAACUUGAGUACUGUAGGGGAGACUGGAAUUCCUGGUGUAGCGGUGAAAUGCGCAGAUAUCAGGAGGAACACCGGUGGCGAAGGCGGGUCUCUGGGCAGUAACUGACGCUGAGGAGCGAAAGCAUGGGGAGCGAACAGGAUUAGAUACCCUGGUAGUCCAUGCCGUAAACGGUGGGCGCUAGGUGUGGGUUUCCUUCCACGGGAUCCGUGCCGUAGCUAACGCAUUAAGCGCCCCGCCUGGGGAGUACGGCCGCAAGGCUAAAACUCAAAGGAAUUGACGGGGGCCCGCACAAGCGGCGGAGCAUGUGGAUUAAUUCGAUGCAACGCGAAGAACCUUACCUGGGCUUGACAUAUACGGGAUCGCGCCAGAGAUGGUGUUUCCCUUGUGGCUUGUAUACAGGUGGUGCAUGGUUGUCGUCAGCUCGUGUCGUGAGAUGUUGGGUUAAGUCCCGCAACGAGCGCAACCCUUGUCUUAUGUUGCCAGCACGUUGUGGUGGGGACUCGUAAGAAACUGCCGGGGUUAACUCGGAGGAAGGUGGGGAUGACGUCAAAUCAUCAUGCCCCUUAUGUCCAGGGCUUCACACAUGCUACAAUGGUCGGUACAGUGGGUUGCCAGUCCGUGAGGGCGAGCUAAUCCCGCAAAGCCGGUCUCAGUUCGGAUCGGGGUCUGCAACUCGACCCCGUGAAGUCGGAGUCGCUAGUAAUCGCAGAUCAGCAACGCUGCGGUGAAUACGUUCCCGGGCCU
rnacentral:rRNA from 1 species